rnacentral:rRNA from 1 species
UUUUGCCUACGGGGGGCAGCAGUGAGGAAUAUUGGUCAAUGGGCGCAAGCCUGAACCAGCCAAGUCGCGUGAGGGAAGACGGCCCUACGGGUUGUAAACCUCUUUUGCCGGGGAGCAAGCCUGAGCACGUGUGCCCAGGCGGAGAGUACCCGGAGAAAAAGCAUCGGCUAACUCCGUGCCAGCAGCCGCGGUAAUACGGAGGAUGCGAGCGUUAUCCGGAUUUAUUGGGUUUAAAGGGUGCGUAGGCGGGAUGCCAAGUCAGCGGUAAAAAUGCGGUGCUCAACGCCGUCGAGCCGUUGAAACUG